UACGUAGGAUGCGAGCGUUAUCCGGAUUUAUUGGGUUUAAAGGGUGCGUAGGCGGGCUUUUAAGUCAGCGGUAAAAAUUCGGGGCUCAACCCCGUCCGGCCGUUGGAACUGGGGGCCUUGAGUGGGCGAGAAGAAGGCGGAAUGCGUGGUGUAGCGGUGAAAUGCAUAGAUAUCACGCAGAACCCCGAUUGCGAAGGCAGCCUUCCGGCGCCCUACUGACGCUGAGGCACGAAAGUGCGGGGAUCGAACAGG
rnacentral:rRNA from 1 species